rnacentral:rRNA from 1 species
GAUGAACGCUGGCGGCGUGCCUAAUACAUGCAAGUCGAACGCUGGAGAUCUAGCUUGCUAGAUCGAAGGAGUGGCGAACGGGUGAGUAAUACAUAAGCAACCUACCCACGAAGACUGGGAUAAUCUCUGGAAACGGGGACUAAUACCGGAUAGGUAAUCGGAAGGCAUCUUCUGGUUAUUAAAGGUUAAAUACACUGGUGGAUGGGCUUAUGGCGCAUUAGUUAGUUGGUGAGGUAACGGCCCACCAAGACGAUGAUGCGUAGCCGGCCUGAGAGGGUGAACGGCCACAUUGGGACUGAGACACGGCCCAGACUCCUACGGGAGGCAGCAGUAGGGAAUUUUCGGCAAUGGGGGCAACCCUGACCGAGCAACGCCGCGUGAGUGAAGACGGCCUUCGGGUUGUAAAGCUCUGUUGUAAGGGAAGAACGGUAGAUAGAGAAUAUCUAAGUGACGGUACCUUACCAGAAAGCCACGGCUAACUACGUG